UACUGCACUCCAGCCUGGGCAACAGAGCUAGACUCCAUCUCAAAAACACAAAAAAGAAAGAAAAGAGAGGCCGGGUGGGGUGGCUCAUGCCUGUAAACCCAGCACUUUGGGAGGCCAAGCCAGGCAGAUCACCUGAGGUUGGGAGUUUGAGACCGGCCUGACCAACAUGGAGAAACCCUGUGUCUACUAAAAAUACAAUAUUAGCUGGGUGUGGUGGCACAUGCCUGUAAUCCCAGCUACUUGGGAGGCUGAGGCAGGAGAAUCACUUGAACCUGGGAGGCAGAGGUUGAGGUGAGCCAAGAUCGUGCCACUGCACUCCAGCCUGGACAACAAGAGCGAAACAGCGUGUCAAAAAAAAAAAAAAGAGAAAUAUUCAAAAUUGAUAAACCAAGCACAGAACUUAUGAAGUUAAAAAAAAAAAGAACAGCAGAGGCCAGGAGCAAUGGCUCACACCUGUAAUCCCAGCACUUUGGGAAGCCGAGACAGGUGGAUUACCUGAGGUCAGGAGUUUGAGACAAGCCUGACCAACAUGGAGAAACCUCAUCUCUACUAAAAAUACAAAAUUAGCCGAGUGUGGUGGAGCAUACCUGUAAUCCUAGCUACUUGGGAGGCUGAGGCAGGAGAAUCACUUGAACCCCA
rnacentral:lncRNA from 10 species